rnacentral:rRNA from 1 species
ACAGGCAGCCAUAUCACCCUGCAGCCCAAGACUGGUUGCCCACUGAAGCUAAGCAGGGUUGAGCCUGGUCAGUACCUGGA